ACGAGAGUGCCUCGCAAGAGGAGCCUGGAGACAGGUGCUGCAUGGCUGUCGUCAGCUCGUGUCGUGAGAUGUGGUAGUCCGCAACGAGCGCAACCCCUACGUUUAGUUGCUAACGCGUGAAGGCGAGCACUCUAGACGAACUGCCGUUGACAAACGGAGGAAGGUGGGGAUGACGUCAAAUCAUCAUGCCCCUUAUGUUCUGGGCUACACACGUGCUACAAUGGCCGGUACAGACGGACGCAAAGCCGCGAGGUGGAGCAAAUCCUAAAAAGCCGGUCUCAGUUCGGAUUGCAGGCUGCAAUUCGCCUGCAUGAAGUCGGAAUCGCUAGUAAUCGCAGGUCAGCAUACUGCGGUGAAUACGUUCCCGGGCCUU
rnacentral:rRNA from 1 species